AUAUUGGUGGUUCAGUGGUAGAAUUCUCGCCUUCCACAUGGGAGACCCAGGUUCCAUUCCCAGCCAAUGCA
rnacentral:tRNA from 1 species